rnacentral:rRNA from 1 species
GUAGGGGUUUCCGCCCUUAGUGCUGCAGCUACGCAUAAGCACUCGCUGGGAGUACGACCGCAAGGUGAACUCAAAGGAAUGACGGGACCCGCACAGCGUGGAGCAUGUGGUUAAUCGAAGCAACGCGAAGACCUUACCAAUCUUGACACCUUUGACCUUCUAGAGAUAGAAGUUCCCUUCGGGGACAAAGUGACAGGUGGUGCAUGGUUGUCGUCAGCUCGUGUCGUGAGAUGUUGGGUUAAGUCCCGCAACGAGCGCAACCCUUAAGCUUAGUUGCCAUCAUUAAGUUGGGCACUCUAAGUUGACUGCCGGUGACAAACCGGAGGAAGGUGGGGAUGACGUCAAAUCAUCAUGCCCCUUAUGAUUUGGGCUACACACGUGCUACAAUGGACAAUACAAAGGGCAGCGAAACCGCGAGGUCAAGCAAAUCCCAUAAAGUUGUUCUCAGUUCGGAUUGUAGUCUGCAACUCGACUACAUGAAGCUGGAAUCGCUAGUAAUCGUAGAUCAGCAUGCUACGGUGAAUACGUUCCCGGGUCUUGUACACACCGCCCGUCACACCACGAGAGUUUGUAACACCCGAAGCCGGUGGAUAACCAUUUGGAGCUAGCCGUCGAAGGUGGGACAAAUGAUUGGGGUGAA